AUCCCUUGUUUACUGUAGGUUGACACCACUCCAGAGUGGUGGGUGCUUGCUUUACAGAGAGGGCCCUAGCCUCUCCCUUGCUUUUUUAGGGAGUCUUCUGCAGUCUUCUCCAGUGAUUUAUUUGGAUGGGGGUUUCUGAUGUUAACGGUGUUUCUUUGGCAUGAGACAGGCUCUUCUGAAUAAGGAAAUAUUGUCAUUGUAAUUUGCAAUUCAGGGUUUAUGCUGCCUGGCUGGAACUAAAUUUUAUUCCCAUGAGGAGGAGCUGUCUUUCUGUUUUUAUUUUUGCAUAAAUGAGAUUGCUGGGUUUCUGGCUACAGUGACAGCUUGCAGUGAGGGUUCAGAGCCACUAGUGGGUGUUGGGCUUGUGUUCUGCCUUGCUGAUGGGAAGACUAUGAAUACAGGCUCAGGCCUUUGCCAUCACCUCAGUUCAUGUUCCAAAAGCAAUUGUGCCUCUGACAGGUUUCAGAGAUGGCUUUUCAUGUGCAGCUCCAACUGUCAGCACAUGAACUGAGUAGCAAAAAAUAUUGUCUCUAUGGCCAAUGUAUUUUAUCCCACAGUUUCUUUGGAUUUAAUGGAUGUAGCUUUCCACUCAAGGAUGUUUGAAGAGUACGGAUUCACACACAAAGCACUGGCAAUCUGAGGUAUUUGACAAAGAUGUCUACUCAGUUCUUCACAGUCUGAAAUAGGGCUUUAUGUAGGCAGAAGGAAAGCACAUAAAGAUACAUAUACUGUUCUCUCUUUCUAGUGUGAAAUCAAGCAUAAGUAGUGCUGCCACAGGGUCCCUACACUGGUGUGACUGCGUCCAAAGUCUAGGGAUCCAGAUAAUAGGUGAGAUAAUUCAGCAGGAUUGGAGUCCUACACUGAAAGAAGUCCACUGCAUACAGAUAAGGUCUCUCAGCACAGCCUCUCUGCCUUUGAGGGAAACAUCAGCUCCUUCCAAUUUAG